GACGAACGCUGGCGGCGUGCUUAACACAUGCAAGUCGAACGGAAAGGCCCUGCUUUUGUGGGGUGCUCGAGUGGCGAACGGGUGAGUAACACGUGAGUAACCUGCCCUUGACUUUGGGAUAACUUCAGGAAACUGGGGCUAAUACCGGAUAGGAGCUCCUGCUGCAUGGUGGGGGUUGGAAAGUUUCGGCGGUUGGGGAUGGACUCGCGGCUUAUCAGCUUGUUGGUGGGGUAGUGGCUUACCAAGGCUUUGACGGGUAGCCGGCCUGAGAGGGUGACCGGGGGGAGUGGGAGUGAGGUGCGGCCCAGACUGCUACGGGAGGCAGCAGGGGGGAAGAGUGCACAAUGGGCGGAAGCCUGAUGCAGCAACGCCGCGUGCGGGAUGACGGCCUUCGGGUUGUAAACCGCUUUCGCCUGUGACGAAGCGUGAGUGACGGUAAUGGGUAAAGAAGCACCGGCUAACUACGUG
rnacentral:rRNA from 1 species